rnacentral:rRNA from 1 species
UACGUAGGGGGCUAGCGUUGUCCGGAAUCAUUGGGCGUAAAGAGCGCGUAGGCGGCUGGAUUAGUCCGGUGUGAAAUCCACAGGCUUAACCUGUGAAUGCCGCUGGAAACUGUCUGGCUAGAGUCCGGAAGGGGCGAGUGGAAUUCCUGGUGUAGCGGCGAAAUGCGCAGAUAUCAGGAGGAACACCGAUGGCGAAGGCAGCUCGCUGGGACGGUACUGACGCUGAGGCGCGAAAGCUAGGGGAGCGAACAGG